UGCGCAGGCGGACUAUUAAGUCAGUGGUGAAAUCUCUCGGCUCAACCGAGAAACUGCCAUUGAAACUGAUAGCCUUGAGUGUAGUUGUAGUAGGCGGAAUAUAGCAUGAAGCGGUGAAAUGCUUAGAUAUGCUAUAGAACACCGAUCGCGAAGGCAGCUUACUAAACUAUUACUGACGCUCAUGCACGAAAGCGUGGGGAGCAAACAGGAUUAGAUACCCUGGUAGUCC
rnacentral:rRNA from 1 species